CCUACGGGAUGCUGCAGUGGGGAAUAUUGGACAAUGGGCGAAAGCCUGAUCCAGCCAUGCCGCGUGUGUGAAGAAGGCCUUCGGGUUGUAAAGCACUUUCAGUGGGGAAGAAAGCCUUGGGGCUAAUACCCUCGAGGAAGGACAUCACCCACAGAAGAAGCACCGGCUAACUCCGUGCCAGCAGCCGCGGUAAUACGGAGGGUGCGAGCGUUAAUCGGAAUUACUGGGCGUAAAGCGCGCGUAGGCGGUCUGAUAAGCCGGUUGUGAAAGCCCCGGGCUCAACCUGGGAACGGCAUCCGGAACUGUCAGGCUAGAGUGCAGGAGAGGAAGGUAGAAUCCCCGGUGUAGCGGUGAAAUGCGUAGAGAUCGGGAGGAAUACCAGUGGCGAAGGCGGCCUUCUGGACUGACACUGACGCUGAGGUGCGAAAGCGUGGGUAGCAAACAGGAUUAGAUACCCCAGUAGUC
rnacentral:rRNA from 1 species